GUGAGGAAUAUUGCGCAAUGGAGGCAACUCUGACGCAGCCAUGCCGCGUGCAGGAAGAAGGCGCUACGCGUUGUAAACUGCUUUUAACCGGGAAGAAACCCCAGGACGUGUCCUGGGUUGACGGUACCGGAGGAAUAAGCACCGGCUAACUUCGUGCCAGCAGCCGCGGUAAUACGAAGGGUGCAAGCGUUAUCCGGAUUCAUUGGGUUUAAAGGGUGCGUAGGCGGAGCGUUGAGUCAGUGGUGAAAUCCUGCAGCUUAACUGUAGACUUGCCAUUGAUACUGGCGCUCUUGAGUGCGCUUGAAGUGGGCGGAAUGUGCCGUGUAGCGGUGAAAUGCUUAGAUAUGGCACAGAACACCAAUUGCGAAGGCAGCUCACUAAGGCGAUACUGACGCUGAGGCACGAAAGCGUGGGGAUCGAACAGGAUUAGAAACCCUAGUAGUCC
rnacentral:rRNA from 1 species